GCAAACAAACAGUGUAAACACAGACACUGUGAAGUUUUGGGAUAAUUAUUAAAUGUAGGAAGUGUAUGAGUACAUUAAAAGUUGUAUUUUAACAGUGCUCUACUGGGUUUGUUUCAGUUUGUGGAUGUGGGAUCACCUGUGGAUAAUAUUGAAGUGGAUCCUGAGACUGAUGACUUGUGGUUGGGGUGUCAUCCUGAUGUCUGGAAUUUUUUUUCCAAUAACAUGGAGGACCCACCAGGUUCAGAGGUUAUUAAGAUCACAAACAUCCUCUCUGACCAGCCGACCGUGACACAGGUGUAUAUGGAUGAUGGGAGUGUGAUCAUCGGUUCCUCUGUGGCGGCGACCUAUGGAGGAAAACUCCUCAUCGGCUCAGUCCAUCACAGGGCCCUAUGCUGUGAUCUUAAUUAGUCACUCAACAAGUCUUGCACUGUUCACCUCAUAGGCCUACUUACAGAAGCUUACCAAUAUACUGUAAUAAUGUUUGUAAUUCAUAAAUAAUGUGAGGACUUUCUCUAGCCAUGUGAGAUGAUUUAUAAGCUGUCAUGUGCAUUGAACUGUAGGCUACAUGAAUGUAUAAUGUACAUGUACGACCUACAUCAUUGCACUUGAACAUAAAAACCUGCUGGAAUUACCUA